rnacentral:rRNA from 1 species
UACAGAGGGGGCAAGCGUUAUUCGGAUUCACUGGGCGUAAAGGGUGCGCAGGCGGCCAAGUGUGUGAGGCGUGAAAGCCCGAAGCUUAACUUCGGAAUUGCACCUCAAACUACAUGGCUAGAGCAUUGGAGAGGGUAGCGGAAUUCACGGUGUAGCAGUGAAAUGCGUAGAUAUCGUGAGGAACACCAGAGGCGAAGGCGGCUACCUGGACAAUUGCUGACGCUCAGGCACGAAAGCGUGGGGAGCAAAAGGG